UAGCUGAUACUAGGAAUAUAUUCUCUUUC
rnacentral:piRNA from 1 species